GGACCCGCACAAGUAGUGGAGCAUGUGGUUUAAUUCGAAGAUACGCGCAGAACCUUACCAACACUUGACAUGUUCGUCGCGACUUUAAGAGAUUAAAGUUUUCGGUUCGGCCGGACGAAACACAGGUGCUGCAUGGCUGUCGUCAGCUCGUGUCGUGAGAUGUUGGGUUAAGUCCCGCAACGAGCGCAACCCUCACUUUUAGUUGCCAUCAUUUAGUUGGGCACUCUGAAAGAACCGCCAGUGAUAAGCUGGAGGAAGGUGGGGAUGACGUCAAGUCCUCAUGGCCCUUACGUGUUGGGCUACACACGUGCUACAAUGGUAUCUACAACAGGAAGCGAGACGGCGACGUUUAGCAAAUCCUUAAAAGAUACCUCAGUUCGGAUUGCACUCUGCAACUCGAGUGCAUGAAGCUGGAAUUACUAGUAAUCGUGGAU
rnacentral:rRNA from 1 species